AGGUGAUGUUGUAUGGUGUUCUCCAAACAGGGUACUUCCACCCAACUUGCCAAGAACAGAUGUCUCAUAGCGCCUCCUGUUUCCUGUUAUUUCUAGUACAGUAAUGGCACUGGAUGUUGUACAGACAUAGAGAAAACAGCCUGUGAAGUGUGUGAUCACAGUUCAAAACAUGAACCGGAAGGGAGGGAGCAUGGAGCCGCAGCAAGGCCUUCAAAUGCAGCAUGGAUUUGGCGGUGUUAUGAUGUCCCCGCCUAUAAGCUCCUGUUUAAAUGCUCCAAACCUGGAAAUCGACUGGUGUAGAGCAGCUGCCGACAAACACCCCAGAGGGUCUUCACAGGCACGAUUCCAGAUCCUGAGGUAGAGAGCACCAUGUGCCUGUGACCGGCAGAGAGCUUCUUUAGCGCCAGCUAGGAUGAGCCAAAUGAGACAACUGGGCAUGAUCAUGACAAAGGGUUUGCAGCUGUGACAAGAAGGUGAAUGGAUCUGUCAUUGCCUACACACCUCUGGGAAAAGGUGUGUCAGCUGCCUAUUUUCUUAGCAGACUCGGCAAAAGAUUCUGCAAAAGAAAUAAGGAGCAAUGAAGGCUGGCAAAGAACUGCAGAGAAUAAGAUUGACCGAAGGACUCGAGGAUUGUACCAGACUAUUUUGAAUUGUUGAAGUUUAAAAGUGCACGCAGACAUGUGCAGGUACACAUUAAGACCC
rnacentral:lncRNA from 1 species